CGGGAAGUGGCUCAGCUUGGUAGAGCACCUGGUUUGGGACCAGGGGGUCGCAGGUUCAAAUCCUGUCUUCCCGACCACGC
rnacentral:tRNA from 4 species